AGCCUGGGAUCAUGACCUGAGCUGAAGACAGACGCAUAACUGACUGAGCCACCCAGUUUCAGGUGUAUGGAGACUAUGAUUUUUGAAUGCUGAAAAUAAUCUUCACUAUCAGCCAGACCAGUUUCUUCAAGAUUGAGGUUUAAAAUAGCCCUGGCUCUCAUGGAGUUCAGCACGCAGUCUGAAGGGGAGCCCACAGAAGAUGGUGGCACGGGACCCAGCACAAAGCUCUCGAUCAAAGGGAGAGCGAGAAUAUGCAUAAGAUCCCAGGUGACUUAGAGCAAGGCCACAUUUAUUUCUUCCAAAUACUGGUAGAAUGUGGGAAGAAUACAUUAUUGAUAAUACUUCAUCAAGAACAGUGAAUUGCAAAUUAAAUGCAUUAAACACAAAAUGCAAUAAACAGCGCUUCAAAUGUUUUGAGAUACAAAAAGCACUGCUUUAAGCUUCUGAAGCCACAAGGAUCUGUGGACUGUGAUACCGUCUAUGCGGGAACCAGACUGUGCCCUGGAGUGCAGGGAGAAUCUGACUGGCAGAAGCACUUAGUAAACUCUACCACCAACGUGGGGCUUGAACUCGGGACCCCAAGAUCAAGAGUCACAUGUUCUACCAGCCAGCCAGUCACCCCGAGCUGUUGCCAUUUUUUAAAUGGAGAGAGAAGAUGGAUGUUCACAUUACUGAGGUUUAACUGUAUUGUUACUAAAUAAUGUAAGUAUGUGAAUGGUGGUUGAUGAAUUAUACUUUAUGUAAAUCAAAUGGAUUUAGUAGAUAUCCAUAUUUGGGUUGACUAGUAGGAUAGAAUUUAUUAAAUGUCAUAGAAAAUACACCAUGAGCAGGUUGGUAGGUGAGGAAAGGAAGGCUACCUUCCAGAGCUAGGAAUGAAAGAGACUAUCAUGUCUUUGACCAGCAAUGGGGAUACUUAAGAACUGUGGGUCUCAAGUCUUAAGAUUUGGGACAUGGAAGGGUCAGAUCAUAAAAGCCUUUUGUGCAGCUGAAAAAAAUAAUUGCUCAAUAACUCAAGAUUAUGCAUGAAAUUUAUCCUUUGAUAUCUCUAUUGAAGUGUUACUUUGCUGUUUUAGAAAUGAAUUUAACAUUUGCUGUCAUUUUUACCACCAUAAGAAUAAUAACCAUAAAAAUAUAAACCAGGUUCAGAGAUAACAUCCAGUUCUAUACCCCGUUGCUUAAAAAAUUAUUGCACGAAUAGUGAAAUGAAGUAAAAUUGCCAUUUCUUUCCUCCAAAAGCACAUUUUCAUAUGGAGAAGUACUGUUGUCAAUUUUAGCAACUAUAACUUGGAUUAAAACCAAUACUGUGUGUGUGUGUCCCAUUAGUUACUAAUCCGUCAAUGAAACAUUCAAAGUCUUGCCUACAAUCCCUUCUUGGGACAAUUUGCAGUGUCAUAAAUAGAGAAAAACAUCAACAUCUGUAUUGCAAUUUGUCUUGUUAUAAUUUGUACCCAGUAUAUGGAGCUUCAUUCUAUCCGGCACACUAUAAUAAAAAACAAAAGUCUCCAACUAAAGGCAAACACAAAGGGGCGAAAUUAAAGUGUCUGUUCAUCUAUCACUCCACAUGGUGAAGAAUAGCCAACAGCUGAUCAUUCAUCUGCCAUUUUCUUUAUGAGCAAAGUAAAAA